UCGUGCUUGGUCGAUCCACCUCGUGCUUCUACAUGUCAAGCUGCAUGUGCAGCUUACAUGCAUGUCGACACCUCGAGCUUCUGUAGACACUCAUCUUGCUGGACAGUUGACACCACGUUCUGAACCCAUGCAACAAGCCACCUCGAGCUUCUCGGUCCAUUGGCCUGAUUUCAGUCCUUCCGGUAAAUUUCUGACCGGCGAUUAAUCCCGAAUAUUUUUCUUCUCCCAUUCAGAUGAGUUUAAUAUUUUUAAUAAACUCCAAUCUGAAGUCUGACCUUGGCGGUAAAUAUUUCCCGAUCCUUCAGCUUCAUCAAAGACUUACAUAAUACCGAAAUUAGGGUUUUAGUCUAAUUUCGGGUUUUCCCGUCGUGCUUCAAUCCCGUCGUGCUUGCUUCCCAUCGUACUUACUUCCCGUCAUGCUUAAUUCCCAUCAUGUUUCCAAUGUCUUCGAAUUAAUAUUCCGCUGAUACGAAGUUUCGCGGAAAACUUCAUGCUGAAGAAACGUCAUUCUUCCAAAACGUCGAGCUUCUAAACCGUCGUGCUUCCAAAAAUGUUAUGCUUCGAAAACGUCCGUCUCAUCAAUCUAAGACAUCUUCUAACUAUGGUCGAGCAACUUAUUCGACUCAUAGUUCACUCACGAUCACUUCUUUGCCCACCUCGUAUUUCAAAGCUUCUUGAUCGAUCCAUAUCGCAUGCGACUCGACCACCACAAAGAUACUCGACCACUCUUUUCUUUCUUUUUUUUUUUUUUUUUUUUUAACGGGUUUCUACACUUCCCGUGGACAGUUCGGGGUAUUUUGGCCCACGUGGGCUGUAUGUUCAGUACACACAGGACGUCCGUGGGUGUCCGCCAGCAAACAUAGAACGUCUGUGGCUGUCUGUGUGUGUCCGUGUCUGUCCGUCUGCACACACAGGACGUCCGUAGCUGUCCAUCAGUACACAUAUCAGCACGCUGGCCCUUCCCGUUGACUGUUUGUG
rnacentral:lncRNA from 1 species